UAGGAGGAAGCUCCGGCUAACUACGUGCCAGCAGCCGCGGUAAUACGUAGGGAGCGAGCGUUGUCCGGAAUUACUGGGUGUAAAGGGAGCGUAGGCGGGAUUGCAAGUCAGAUGUGAAAUGCAGGGGCUCAACCCCUGAGCUGCAUUUGAAACUGUAGUUCUUGAGUGAAGUAGAGGUAAGCGGAAUUCCUGGUGUAGCGGUGAAAUGCGUAGAUAUCAGGAGGAACACCGGUGGCGAAGGCGGCUUACUGGGCUUUUACUGACGCUGAGGCUCGAAAGCGUGGGAAGCAAACAGGAUUAGAUACCCUGGUAGUCCACGCUGUAAACGAUGAUUACUAGGUGUGGGGGGACUGACCCCUUCCGUGCCGCAGUUAACACAAUAAGUAAUCCACCUGGGGAGUACGGCCGCAAGGUUGAAACUCAAAGGAAUUGACGGGGGCCCGCACAAGCAGUGGAGUAUGUGGUUUAAUUCGAAGCAACGCGAAGAACCUUACCAGGUCUUGACGUCGUAUGCAUAACUUAGAGAUAAGUGAAAUCCCUUCGGGGACAUAUAGACAGGUGGUGCAUGGUUGUCGUCAGCUCGUGUCGUGAGAUGUUGGGUUAAGUCCCGCAACGAGCGCAACCCUUACCUUUAGUUGCUACGCAAGAGCACUCUAAAGGGACUGCCGUUGACAAAACGGAGGAAGGUGGGGAUGACGUCAAAUCAUCAUGCCCCUUAUGACCUGUGCUACACACGUACUACAAUGGCAAUCAACAAAGAGAAGCAAGACAGUGAUGUGGAGCGAAUCUCAAAAAA
rnacentral:rRNA from 1 species